GCCAGCAUGGCACAGUGGUUUGGGUGUGGGAUUAUGACUCUGGAGAUGAGAGUUCGAUUCCCUACUUGGCC